rnacentral:rRNA from 1 species
UACGGGGGGGGUAAGCGUUGUUCGGAAUUACUGGGCGUAAAGGGCUCAUAGGCGGCCAACUAAGUCAUACGUGAAAUCCCUCAGCUUAACUGGGGAACUGCGUGUGAUACUGGAUGGCUUGGAUUUGGGAGAGGGAUGCGGAAUUCCAGGUGUAGCGGUGAAAUGCGUAGAUAUCUGGAGGAAUACCGGUGGCGAAGGCGGCAGCCUGGACCGGCAUUGACGCUGAGGAGCGAAAGCUAGGGGAGCAAACGGG